AUGUUUACCUGGCAGGGGAGAUACCAUGAUCAUGAAGGUGGUUUUCCCAGGGCAAGGUUUAUCCAUUACAUCCAGAUGUGCUGACCCCUGUGAAUUCCCCAAAUGUGGGAAACUCGACUACAUAAUUUGUGGUAGUGGGGGACUGUGCUCGUGCUCUCCCCAA
rnacentral:snRNA from 1 species